rnacentral:rRNA from 1 species
GACGAACGCUGGCGGCGUGCUUAACACAUGCAAGUCGAACGGAAAGGCCCUGCUUUUGUGGGGUGCUCGAGUGGCGAACGGGUGAGUAACACGUGAGUAACCUGCCCUUGACUUUGGGAUAACUUCAGGAAACUGGGGCUAAUACCGGAUAGGAGCUCCUGCUGCAUGGUGGGGGUUGGAAAGUUUCGGCGGUUGGGGAUGGACUCGCGGCUUAUCAGCUUGUUGGUGGGGUAGUGGCUUACCAAGGCUUUGACGGGUAGCCGGCCUGAGAGGGUGACCGGCCACAUUGGGCCUGAGAGACGGCCCAGACUCCUACGGGGGGCAGAAGUGGGGAAUAUUGCACAAUGGGGCGAAGCCUGAGGCAGCAACGCCGCGUGCGGGAUGACGGCCUUCGGGUUGUAAACCGCUUUCGCCUGUGACGAAGCGUGAGUGACGGUAAUGGGUAAAGAAGCACCGGCUAACUACGUG